CGGAGCCCCGCUUGGGGAGACUAGAGCACUCACCCUGGGCCUGCUGGAGAGUUCCCGGAGAGAGGGUCGCCGCUCGCCGGCACCGGGGCGCUCGGGUGAGCACUCGCAGAGGCCGUUGACCGAGCGCACCGAGGCGCCCGGGCAAAGAAGCGGCGGAGCGGCCGCGACGGGCCGGGACAGACGCGAGAACGGCCAGGACUGGCCCCUUCCAGGAGCCGUAGCGGAAGUAGGUUCCUGGUCAUGUGACAAAGGAAGGGCGGAUGUUGCAUGCAGGUUCGUGAGAGGGCGACGAGGAGCCAUUUUUGUUGUGGGCAAAGUACUCCAGGCUCAGAAAGGAAAAGUGUUCAAGGACUCUGCUUCUCCUAUGACACUGGCCUGAGAAAGGGCUGGAGAAGACGAUGAGUGGUUAAAAGCACUGACUGACUGUUCUUCCAGAGAUCCUGAGUUCAAUUCCUAGCAACCACAUGGUGGCUCACAACCAUCUGUAAUGGGGUCUGAUGCCCUCUUCUGGAUCUCAUGGCGGGCUUUCAUUUUGUGUGCUCAAUGGUGACUGACACUCACUGCUGCUCAUCCCACCUCCAUCUCCCAGGUGCUGGAACUUCAAGUGCGAGAGAAGAUGCUACUCCACUGCCUCCAAAGAGACAGUUUCUGAGGCAACAGCUUCACAUCUUGAACCCUUAAACCCUUGAACAUCUGACAGAAAAAUAUCUUUUCCCUUUACAAAAACAUGCAUCCAAGUACUUCACAUACAAUUUAGGUUAGUGGGUCACUCGGGAUGCUACAGAUUUCUCCAGAGAGGGCCAUGAAAUCCCUCUGCCUCUGGGGCUGGCGAGAUGGCUUGGCAGUCAAUAGGCUCUUCCAGAGGUCCAGAAUUCAAUUCCCAGCAGCCACAUGCUGGCUCACAACCAUCCAUAGUGAGAUCUGGUGCCCUCUUCUAUUAUGCAGGUGUAUAUGCAGGCAGAAUACUGUGUACAUAAUAAAUAAAUAAAUAAAUAAAUAAAUCUUAAAAG
rnacentral:lncRNA from 1 species